ACCUGAAUGCAGCGUCACUGGUGACGUCACGUCACGCUCUCUUUAUACAUCCAUGAACGUUGGAGCAGGAAAACAAACAUGGCGUCCGGGCAGCAGUGGGUGUUGGUGGAGAUGGUGCAGGCGUUUUAUGAGGCUCCUGCUUAUCAUCUGAUUCUGGAGGGGAUCCUCAUACUGUGGAUCAUCAGACUUCUGUUCUCCAAGACGUACAAACUUCAUGAGACCUAUAAACUGACAGAAAAGGAAAAGGAGGACCUGAUUGAGGAGUGGCAGCCAGAGCCUCUUGUCCCUCCUGUUUCCAAAGACCAUCCAUCCCUCAACUAUGAUGUUGUCUCUGGACCCCCCAGACACAAGAUCAUAAUCAAUGGUAAGGAGUGCAUUAACUUUGCAUCAUUCAAUUUCCUGGGACUCCUCGACAAUGACCGGGUUAAGGAGAAAGCUCUGGCAUCACUGAAGAAAUACGGUGUGGGCACAUGCGGUCCAAGAGGCUUCUAUGGAACUUUUGAUGUUCACCUGGAGUUGGAGAGUCGUCUGGCCAAAUUCAUGAAAACAGAAGAGGCCAUCAUCUACUCGUAUGGCUUUGCAACCAUUGCUAGUGCAAUCCCUGCCUACUCCAAGAGGGGAGACAUAAUUUUUGUGGAUGAAGCAGCCUGCUUCUCCAUCCAGAAGGGUCUUCAAGCAUCCCGCAGCUUUAUCAAAUACUUCAAGCACAAUGACAUGGAGGAUCUGGAGAGGCUGCUCAAGGAGCAGGAACUGGAGGACCAGAAGAAUCCUCGUAAAGCCCGAGUAACCCGGAAGUUCAUUGUGGUGGAGGGGCUGUACAUCAACACUGCAGACAUCUGUCCUCUCCCUGAACUGGUGAAGCUGAAGUACAAGUACAAGGUACGGAUCUUUCUGGAGGAGAGCAUGUCUUUUGGUGUAUUGGGAGAACAUGGCAGAGGAGUCACGGAACACUUUGGGGUCAAUAUAGAUGACAUUGAUCUGAUCAGCUCUAACAUGGAGAACGCCGUGGCGUCCAUCGGCGGUUUCUGCUGCGGACGCUCCUUUGUCAUCGACCACCAGCGUCUGUCGGGCCAAGGCUACUGCUUCUCUGCCUCCCUGCCUCCAAUGCUGGCUUCUGCUGCCAUCGAAGCCCUCAACAUCAUGGAGGAGGAUCCAGGUAUUUUCACUGACCUGAAGGAAAAGUGCAAACAUGUUCACAAAGCCUUACAGGGAAUUCCAGGUCUGAAGUUAGUAGGAGAACCAUUUGCCCCGGCUCUUCACCUACAGCUGGAAAAAAGUUCAGGUUCCAGAGACUCUGACAUGCAGCUGCUGCGCACCAUUGUAGAUUCUUGUUUGGAACGACAAGUCGCUCUGACACUCGCUCGUUACCUGGAAAAAGAGGAACGUUUCCUUCCCCCGCCUAGUAUCAGAGUGGUGGUCACCGUCGAACAGACAGAGGAGGACAUGGAGAAGGCGGUGCGUUGUAUCAAAGAGGCGGCUUCAGCUGCCCUCAAAUGAUGAGAUGGUGUUUGUUGCUGCUCAAGCUAAGCAGACAUCACUGUGUAACGUUUCCUUAUCUUUCUUUUUGAAUUCUCUUAAUAAUUCUUUGUUUACUCUCAUUUAUCAUGUGUCAACUGCACUACAUGUACUACAUGCUGUAUGUCGUUGUGAGUGGAAGUGUGAUCUUUAGCAGGACUUCCUGUGGUAAACAAUAAUGGCUCUCAGUCAUUAAUGAAGAAAAACAGCUGCAGUAAGGAGAGUUGAUUUCUGCUCCAGAUGACUUGUUGCUUUUUACAAACUGACCAAAGAGAUGACAUUGUGCUCAUUGUUUUUAAUGUGUCUGCAGUCUACUAGCACAUGAAGUGAUUUUUAUAUGCCACUGUCACUGGAGGUUGUUUUCCAGUCCAUGUUACUUCUCUUGUUUGUUGCAUUCAGGUCGUUGCAUUUCUGGCCACUUUACUUUCAUGAAAUAUAAAAUAUAUCUGAUUUAAAUGAA